GAGCCCCCGGCACAGCCCUGCCCGGGGCCGCCCGCGGGGCCGCCGCCUUCCUUCCCUGGACGGCGCUGGGCGAGCGUGGCCUCGGCGCUCCUGGACGAUGCCGGCGGCAGAGAACGGCGGGGAACGGCCCCCAGCCGCCCCUGCACCACGAGCGCUCCUCCGCCCCGCGAUGUCCCGCGGCAGGGGGAGAUGGGAAGCGUUGCUUCCUUUCCGUUUCCAUCCUCGUUCUGGAAAUCGUCAUGCCCCCUUUCGCCCACUGCAAAGUGGGGUACGUUACACCUCACCUCGAGUCCUGUGAGCGGUUUUGGGCACCAAAGAAAGACAUCAAGCUGUUGGAGAGUGUCCGAAGGAGGCUACGAAGCUGGUGGAAGGUCUGAGGAGGCCGCGCCAGGAGCGGCUGAGGGCAGCUGGCCUGUGGGGCCCGGAGGGGAGAGGCAGCCUCACUGCACCGACCGCUUGUCCUGAGGGGAAGCACAGGCACUGAGCUCUGCUCUGAGGUGAGCACGGCCUGAGGAAGGGCCCCGAAGUGGUGCCAGGGAGGUUAAAGCUGGAUGUUAGGGAAAGGAUCUUCCUCCAGAGGCUGCUUGGGCACUGGAGCAGGGCCCGGCAGAGCAGCACGCUCGGCGCGGCGCGGGAUGGCCGCGGUGCCCGGGCAGGGCCUGGAGCUGAACUUCAGGGAUUCCUGGGGGCUCCUCCAGCUCCGGUCAUCCUGCUAGCAGUGACAAGGGACCUCGGAGCAAGCAGAGCCAUCCCUCAUUCAACCACCAGUGAGAAAAAGUGCUUUAAUUCACACAUCUCCACUCGGAGUUAUUGUCACUGCUGUAUAAACUGGACUCCUAACACCCUCACUGCUGAACGCAGAAGUAGAAAAAAAGGCUUCAUCCAAACACAGAACUGAAAAUAACACGAAGAGAGGAACAUGCCAGUGUCAUGUCUUUUUAAGAAUAAAUAACUACUCCACUUCCCACU